GAUGAACGCUAGCUACAGGCUUAACACAUGCAAGUCGCGGGGCAGCAUGGGGGUUGCUUGCACUCCCCGAUGGCGACCGGCGCACGGGUGAGUAACGCGUAUCCAACCUGCCCUUCACCACGGGAUAACCCGGCGAAAGUCGGACUAAUACCGUAUGUUGUCCAUUGACGGCAUCCGAUUUGGACGAAAGGUUUGGCGGUGAAGGAUGGGGAUGCGUCCGAUUAGCUGGACGGCGGGGUGACGGCCCACCGUGGCGACGAUCGGUAGGGGUUCUGAGAGGAAGGUCCCCGACACUGGAACUGAGACACGGUCCAGACUCCUACGGGAGGCAGCAGUGAGGAAUAUUGGUCAAUGGGCGUAAGCCUGAACCAGCCAAGUAGCGUGCAGGAUGACGGCCCUAUGGGUUGUAAACUGCUUUUAUGCGGGGAUAAAGUGGCCCACGUGUGGGUUUUUGCAGGUACCGCAUGAAUAAGGACCGGCUAAUUCCGUG
rnacentral:rRNA from 1 species